rnacentral:rRNA from 1 species
CAAGCGUUAUCCGGAUUUAUUGGGUUUAAAGGGUCCGUAGGCGGAUCUGUAAGUCAGUGGUGAAAUCUCAUAGCUUAACUAUGAAACUGCCAUUGAUACUGCAGGUCUUGAGUAAAGUAGAAGUGGCUGGAAUAAGUAGUGUAGCGGUGAAAUGCAUAGAUAUUACUUAGAACACCAAUUGCGAAGGCAGGUCACUAUGUUUUAACUGACGCUGAUGGACGAAAGCGUGGGGAGCGAACAGGAUUAGAUACCCUGGUAGUCCACGCCGUAAACGAUGCUAACUCGUUUUUGGGCUUUAGGGUUCAGAGACUAAGCGAAAGUGAUAAGUUAGCCACCUGGGGAGUACGUUCGCAAGAAUGAAACUCAAAGGAAUUGACGGGGGCCCGCACAAGCGGUGGAUUAUGUGGUUUAAUUCGAUGAUACGCGAGGAACCUUACCAAGGCUUAAAUGGGAAUUGACAGGUUUAGAAAUAGACUUUUCUUCGGACAAUUUUCAAGGUGCUGCAUGGUUGUCGUCAGCUCGUGCCGUGAGGUGUUAGGUUAAGUCCUGCAACGAGCGCAACCCCUGUCACUAGUUGCCAUCAUUCAGUUGGGGACUCUAGUGAGACUGCCUACGCAAGUAGAGAGGAAGGUGGGGAUGACGUCAAAUCAUCACGGCCCUUACGCCUUGGGCCACACACGUAAUACAAUGGCCAGUACAGAGGGCAGCUACCAGGCGACUGGAUGCGAAUCUCGAAAGCUGGUCUCAGUUCGGAUUGGAGUCUGCAACUCGACUCUAUGAAGCUGGAAUCGCUAGUAAUCGCAUAUCAGCCAUGAUGCGGUGAAUACGUUCCCGGGCCUUGUACACACCGCCCGUCAAGCCAUGGAAGUUUGGGGUACCUGAAGUCGGUGACCGUAACAGGAGCUGCCUAGGGUAAAACAAGUAACUAGGGCUAAGUCGUAACAAGGUAGCCGUACCGGAAGGUGCGGCUGGAACAUCU